rnacentral:rRNA from 1 species
AUUGAACGCUGGCGGAAUGCUUUACACAUGCAAGUCGAGCGGCAGCGCGGGGGCAACCCUGGCGGCGAGCGGCGAACGGGUGAGUAACAUAUCGGAACGUACCCGUCGUGGGGGAUAACACAGCGAAAGCUGUGCUAAUACCGCAUACGACCUGAGGGUGAAAGCGGGGGAUCGCAAGACCUCGCGCGAUGGGAGCGGCCGAUAUCGGAUUAGCUUGUUGGUGAGGUAAAGGCUCACCAAGGCGACGAUCCGUAGCUGGUCUGAGAGGACGACCAGCCACACUGGAACUGAGACACGGUCCAGACUCCUACGGGAGGCAGCAGUGGGGAAUUUUGGGACAAUGGGGGGCAACCCUGAUCCAGCCAUUCCGCGUGAGUGAAGAAGGCCU